rnacentral:piRNA from 1 species
UGUAGAUCUAUCUGGUGCAGCGAGAAGAGU